GAAGAACCAGAGCAUCACAUCCAAGAUGCUUUGACUGCACACACUGCUGGAGCUUCAAGUCAACUUAUGACAUGUGAGACAGUCAUUGAGGUUCACCCUCAGCCACACCCUCCACAGGAAGAACUCCUACUAGAGCAUCACAUCCAAGAUGCUUUGACUGCACACACCGCUGGACCUUCAAGUCAACCUAAGACUCCACCUGAAGAAGUUGGUGAAGUGUAUCCAAGGCCACUCCUCCCACAGGAAGAACACCACUAUCAAGAAACAUGUACAUCACCUGAACCCAAAAAUAAG